AAUAGCUACUUGCAUCAUUGUAAAUAUGAUGCAAGAUCGACUAUGUCGAAUAAAAUUCUAGGUAGAAUUAUGAUAAUGACAUUGUCUGCCUAUGUGUCUUGACCAAAUUACGUGCCAGCAGUCGCGGUAAUACGUAGAAGACUAGUGUUAUUCAUGUUUAAUCGGUUUAAAGGGUACCUAGACGGUAAAUCAAGCCUAAAAGGAAAUAAAUGAAGGGACUAAUUUACUAGAGUUACUUAUGAGGGGGUAUUAAAGUACUGCUGGUGUAGAGAUGAAAUUCUGUCAUACCUCUUUUCAAUAGAAAAUUAAUGGCACAGGUAUAGGCGAAAGCAUCCCCUUAUGUGAUAACUGACGUUGAGGGACGAAGGCUUUGUGUAGCGAACAGGAUUAGAUACCCCAGUAGUCAAAGCAGAAAAUGAUGAAUGUCAUAGAUUAGAUAUAUAAGUUUAUUCUAUAAAUGAAAGUGUAAGCAUUCCACCUCAAGAGUAAUUUGGCAACAUUGGAACUGAAAUCAUUAGACCGUUUCUGAAACCAGUAGUGAAGUAUGUUGUUUAAUUUGAUGAUCCGCAAAAAACCUUACCACAAUUUGAAUCUUUAUAUCUUUUAUUGUUUUUCUUUUUAACUUUUUCUAAUUUUCUACUUAAAAGAAAAAAAUAACAAGAAAAAAGAGACAAUAA
rnacentral:rRNA from 1 species